rnacentral:rRNA from 1 species
UGACGGUACCCUACUAGAAAGGAGCCGCUAACUUCGUGCCAGAAGCGUCGGUAAUACGGGGGCUCCAAGCGUUAUCCGGUGUUAUUGGGCGUAAAGAGUCGUGUAGGUGGUUGGGUAAGUUAUCUUUCAAAUAUCUCUGCUUAACAAAGAGGAGGGGGAUAAUACUGCUCGACUAGAAUUUUCUCAAGGGAGAUCGGAACUGAGGGAGGAGUAGUGAAAUGCGUUGACACCCUCGGGAACACCAGUGGCGUAGGCGGAUCUCUGGGAGAAGAUUGACACUGAGACACGAGAGCUAGGGGAGCGAAGCAGAUUAGAGACCUGCGUAGCCCUAGCCGUAAACGCAUGCUUGCUAGCUGCAUGAAUCUACCUUCGGGUGGUAUCGUGUGGCGAAGGUAACCCGUUAAGCAAGCCGCCUGGAAAGUACGGCCGCAAGGCUGAAAUUCAAAGGAAUUGGCGGGGAGGCACACAACCAGUGGAACAUGUGGUUUAAUUCGAGACUAACCGAAGAACCUCACCAGGGUUUGACAUGUAGCUGCACGUCUUAAGAAAUUAAGACUCUCUUGAAGGUGCUACACAGGUGCUGCAUGGCUGUCGUCAGCUCGUUCCGUGAGGAGUGCCCUUAAGUGGGACAACGAGCGCAACCCCUAUUACAUGUUAGAAAUGUCAUGUAAGACUGCCUUGCCAUUUGGCGGGGAGGAAGGAGGGGCAGACGUCAAGUCCGCAUGGUCCUUAUGCCCUGGGCUACACACAUGUUACAAUGAGUACGGCAAUGAGUCUGUCGCGAGCACGUAAGUGUAAGCUAAUCUCUUAAAUGUACUCUCAGUGGGGAUUGAGGUCUGCAACUCGACCUCAUGAACACGGAAUUGGUAGUAAUCGCGGGUCAGCUAUACCGCGGUGAAUACGUUCUUGCCUCUUGCACACACCGCCCGUCAAACCAGCAAAGUCGAUUGUAUCCGAACCU